AAUAGAUCUGUGCUUAGUCUCUUUUCUAGCCUAACCUCUACACAUACAACACAAGAUCAGUGCUGCACCUAACCUGGACUUCAAUAUAUCCUGAAGACAGGUACUCACUGCAACACUGGAAAUAAACCAUCUAAAAGAAGAGGGUCUGUGUGCCCAUAUCUGAGGCAGCUCUGAGCUCUGCUCUGGCCUUGACCAACAGUAGCAGGAAUCUUUCAUCAAGGUGGACCUUCACUUGCCCAGAACAAGGGGAAAAAAGCAGUUCUGCAUGAAGCUAAGUAUGACUCAGCAUGGCCAUGGCUCAUCAUCCAAAAAAAAAAAAAAAGUUAAUAAGAAAAAAAAAAAAGGUCUCCUACUGAAAGAAAAUAAUAUUUAUUCCCUCUCAGUAGGUGAUUUUCUCUGAGGUCAGCCAGGAAUGGCAUACAUCUGAAGGCAAUAUGGGAAGUACUGACUGCCAAGAUGAAGACUGUGUCUUUUCUGUGGGUGAGUUGUGGAUUUGAGUUCUCAGACCAGCUAUUUUGGCACCUUGCAGAAGGAAAUUAAAAAUGUCAACUGUUUCCUGGCGAUAACAUGUGGACAGUGUAUUCAACAUGGAUGAGUCCCUCCAGUUAAGGAUUUCAUUCAAAUUAGGCCCAAGAUUCUGUGAUUUGGAAAGCCCACAUUAGGAUGCAUCAUUUGAUGGCAAGAGCUACUUACAUCUACGUGCACUAAGAUAAAAUUGGGUAAGCCAUAUGUGUAGCUGGACUAAUGGGAAGAUUUACUCCACAGCUCCCCACCAUCCUGCUCCUCCCUCAGCUGAAUUUGGAGCCUGGCCAGUGAUUCUCAUCUGGAGUGCAUGCCUCAAUUUCUUCCCUACAGGAGUGUAGGGCUUACAGUAGGAAACACUAUGCUUACCUUCUUCUUACUGGCAUGAAAACAUGAGUGGAGCACUCACUAGAUAAUGGUCUUUUAUCAGGAACCACAGUUUCUGAUGCAGUCUCUGGAAAUGUAUGUGUCAUAAGGACACUGCUCUAAUAAUGCUUGUAAACAUUAAUCAGUUUCAUAGAUGCAGUCCUAUCAAUUGCUCCACUGUGGUAUCCACUGAUUGCUCCUAAAGAACACUCGUCUCCCAUUCACUAAUAUUGUAAAAAAGAUUGUCCUGUAUUGUUGGUUAUCCUUAGAUUUUGGGGAGGAAAAAUCACUGAACUCUUUGUUCUUGCAGCUUGCAUCUCUUCUGCACUUCCUUCAAAGACGGAUUUCACUCUUCUCCUUGGGAAAAUCCCUGAACUACAUCUCUCUUCAUGUAUACACUGUAUGAGUA